CGUCCACCGCAUGGUGGGUGUUGGAAAGAUUUAUCGGUUUUGGAUGGACUCGCGGCCUAUCAGCUUGUUGGUGAGGUAAUGGCUCACCAAGGCGACGACGGGUAGCCGGCCUGAGAGGGUGACCGGCCACACUGGGACUGAGACACGGCCCAGACUCCUACGGGAGGCAGCAGUGGGGAAUAUUGCACAAUGGGCGAAAGCCUGAUGCAGCGACGCCGCGUGAGGGAUGACGGCCUUCGGGUUGUAAACCUCUUUCAGUAGGGAAGAAGCGAAAGUGACGGUACCUGCAGAAGAAGCACCGGCUAACUACGUGCCAGCAGCCGCGGUAAUACGUAGGGUGCGAGCGUUAUCCGGAAUUAUUGGGCGUAAAGAGCUCGUAGGCGGUUUGUCGCGUCUGUCGUGAAAGUCCGGGGCUUAACCCCGGAUCUGCGGUGGGUACGGGCAGACUAGAGUGCAGUAGGGGAGACUGGAAUUCCUGGUGUAGCGGUGGAAUGCGCAGAUAUCAGGAGGAACACCGAUGGCGAAGGCAGGUCUCUGGGCUGUAACUGACGCUGAGGAGCGAAAGCAUGGGGAGCGAACAGGAUUAGAUACCCUGGUAGUCCAUGCCGUAAACGUUGGGCACUAGGUGUGGGGACCAUUCCACGGUUUCCGCGCCGCAGCUAACGCAUUAAGUGCCCCGCCUGGGGAGUACGGCCGCAAGGCUAAAACUCAAAGGAAUUGCGGGGGCCCGCACAAGCGGCGGAGCAUGCGGAUUAAUUCGAUGCAACGCGAAGAACCUUACCAAGGCUUGACAUGUUCCCGAUCGCCGUAGAGAUACGAUUUCCCCUUUGGGGCGGGUUCACAGGUGGUGCAUGGUUGUCGUCAGCUCGUGUCGUGAGAUGUUGGGUUAAGUCCCGCAACGAGCGCAACCCUCGUUCCAUGUUGCCAGCACGUAAUGGUGGGGACUCAUGGGAGACUGCCGGGGUCAACUCGGAGGAAGGUGAGGACGACGUCAAAUCAUCAUGCCCCUUAUGUCUUGGGCUUCACGCAUGCUACAAUGGCCGGUACAAUGGGUUGCGAUACUGUGAGGUGGAGCUAAUCCCAAAAAGCCGGUCUCAGUUCGGAUUGGGG
rnacentral:rRNA from 1 species